rnacentral:rRNA from 1 species
AGAGUUUGAUCCUGGCUCAGGACGAACGCUGGCGGCACGCUUAACACAUGCAAGUCGAACGAGAGAAGAGGAGCUUGCUUUUCUGAUCUAGUGGCGGACGGGUGAGUAACACGUGAGCAAUCUGCCUUUCAGAGGGGGAUACCGAUUGGAAACGAUCGUUAAUACCGCAUAACAUAAUUGAACCGCAUGAUUUGAUUAUCAAAGAUUUAUCGCUGAAAGAUGAGCUCGCGUCUGAUUAGCUAGUUGGUAAGGUAACGGCUUACCAAGGCGACGAUCAGUAGCCGGACUGAGAGGUUGAUCGGCCACAUUGGGACUGAGACACGGCCCAGACUCCUACGGGAGGCAGCAGUGGGGAAUAUUGCACAAUGGAGGAAACUCUGAUGCAGCGAUGCCGCGUGAGGGAAGAAGGUUUUAGGAUUGUAAACCUCUGUCUUCAGGGACGAAAAAAAAGACGGUACCUGAGGAGGAAGCUCCGGCUAACUACGUGCCAGCAGCCGCGGUAAUACGUAGGGAGCGAGCGUUGUCCGGAAUUACUGGGUGUAAAGGGAGCGUAGGCGGGAUCGCAAGUCAGAUGUGAAAACUAUGGGCUUAACCCAUAAACUGCAUUUGAAACUGUGGUUCUUGAGUGAAGUAGAGGUAAGCGGAAUUCCUAGUGUAGCGGUGAAAUGCGUAGAUAUUAGGAGGAACACCAGUGGCGAAGGCGGCCUGCUGGGCUUUAACUGACGCUGAGGCUCGAAAGCGUGGGGAGCAAACAGGAUUAGAUACCCUGGUAGUCCACGCCGUAAACGAUGGAUACUAGGUGUAGGAGGUAUCGACCCCUUCUGUGCCGGAGUUAACGCAAUAAGUACCCCGCCUGGGGAGUACGGCCGCAAGGUUGAAACUCAAAGGAAUUGACGGGGGCCCGCACAAGCAGCGGAGCAUGUGGUUUAAUUCGAAGCAACGCGAAGAACCUUACCAAGGCUUGACAUCCCCUGACGUAUGUAGAGAUACAUAUUUCCUUCGGGACAGGGAGACAGGUGGUGCAUGGUUGUCGUCAGCUCGUGUCGUGAGAUGUUGGGUUAAGUCCCGCAACGAGCGCAACCCUUGUAUACAGUUACCAGUAUUAAGUUAGGGACUCUGUAUAGACUGCCGUGGAUAACACGGAGGAAGGUGGGGACGACGUCAAAUCAUCAUGCCCCUUAUGUCUUGGGCUACACACGUGCUACAAUGGCCGCAACAGAGGGCAGCGAAGUGGCAACAUGGAGCGAAUCUCAAAAAAGCGGUCUCAGUUCAGAUUGUGGGCUGCAACCCGCCCACAUGAAGUCGGAGUUGCUAGUAAUCGCGGAUCAGCAUGCCGCGGUGAAUGCGUUCCCGGGCCUUGUACACACCGCCCGUCACACCACCCGAGUCGUCUGCACCCGAAGUCGCCGGCCCAACCGAGAGGGGGGAGGCGCCGAAGGUGUGGAGGGUGAGGGGGGUGAAGUCGUAACAAGGUAGCCGUACCGGAAGGUGCGGCUG